rnacentral:rRNA from 1 species
AGAAUGAACGCUGGCGGCGUGCUUAACACAUGCAAGUCGAACGAGGCCGAGGGGGCAACUCCUCGGUUUAGUGGCGGACGGGUGAGUAACACGUGGGUAACCUGCCCGGAAGUGGGGAAUACCGUCGGGGAAACUCGAGCUAAUACCGCAUGACAUCUUUGGGACGAAAGUCCCGACGAUCAAAGCGGGGUCGCAAGAUCUCGCGCUACCGGAUGGGCCCGCGCCCGAUUAGCUAGUUGGUGAGGUAACGGCUCACCAAGGCUUCGAUC